rnacentral:ncRNA from 1 species
CCGGUGCGCCCCCGGCGGCCCAUGAAAAUCCGGAGGACCGAGUACCGUUCACGCCCGGUCGUACUCAUAACCGCAUCAGGUCUCCAAGGUGACACGCCUCUGGCCAAUGGAACAAUGUAGGCAAGGGAAGUCGGCAAAACGGAUCCGUAACUUCGGGAAAAGGAUUGGCUCUGAGGACUGGGCUCGGGGGUCCCGGCCCCGAACCCGUCGGCUG